AUGUAAAUUGAAUUGAUUAUUUGGCAUUUUAUUUGAUAUGUGAUAAUCUGAAAUUUAUUUGGCAAUAUUUGAGUGUGAAAUGGCAUUUAUGCCCUUGGAAAUGAAUAUGUAUAUUUUAUAGCCCUAAGGGCAAAAUGGUCAUUUGACCAUUAUUGGGUUACAUUGAAUUUAAUGGAUUUUUAGAGAAAUUGAAAUGUAUUUUCUGGUAUUAUCCCUCUCUCACCCGAACUCUCUCUCUCCCUUUAACCCUUUCCAUUUUCAAAAUUUAAUUGUUGAGAAUUGCUUGAAGUUGGGUGUGAAUUGGAGCUUUGGAAUUGUGGAUUCUUGAGCUUGGAGCUAGGAUUACCGGCACCUGGUCAGGAGCACCCGGGGAUUUGGAAUCUCUACUAUUGCGGGACAACAGGAAAGGGUAAGGCAUUAGCUGAUCAGCCAUGAGUUUCAGGAGCAGGGCGAAGAAUGUACAUGUUCAUGCCACUUCAGACCAAGCGGGUUAUGGGUCUAAUAGUGUUGACUUUUGUAUUCUGUUUUGCCGCUUAGGUCGGCUAGUAAGAAAGAACUUGUAAUAAGUUUGUAAAUAUUUUUGGGAUCCCAACUAUUUUGAAAAGUUUAAAUAUAUUACAAGUUUAUUUUCAGUCUGUUUAAUAUAAAAGUUUAAAUCUUGCGCUAUUUUAAUUAGUAAUCCCGGUUAGGGGAUUAGGGCCUUAUAAGUAAUUUUGGGUAGCGUGCCUAAUUAUUUAGGGCGUUACAUUUCAGUUAGAGAAAGAUAUUAAAAUAAUGCUAAAUGUAAACAUAUUUUUUAUAUAGUAUAGAAAGAGAGUUUUUUUAAUUAAAUAGUAAAAUUAACUACAGUACCUUACA